rnacentral:lncRNA from 1 species
CCUUGAGAUAUGUUAACUUGGAGAACACCUCCAUUCCCUAUCAUUCUGUUGUAACAAGUCUUCAAAGAGCUGCUUGCUUUCUUCAGCCACAGUAGAUGCCUCCUUGACUAGUCCCAGGAAGACAAUAUGACUAUUUCAGCUUCCAAGAGAAGUGAAUGAUGCAGAGAAGAGCCAAUUCAGCCAGGUGGCAGCAAUCUGGCUCUGGGCUUCCUGGCCUCUGACAGGGACGUGCAGGACGACCCUUGGGGAGAAAUGGGUCACUUCUGCGUCUUGUUAGAUGGACCGUUACACAGACUGAGAGGACGCUGACUGCUGAAGGAGGCAGCCAGCCAAGUCUGUAGCUACCCACCUCUGAAUUUAUUGAAGACAGGGAAGAAAAGAACCCCAAGAGAGGAAUGUGAAUGCCAUAUUCUAAAAGGAAGUUCUAAUUGGCAAUGAGCAUGGAAAACUUACCUGGAAUUACAAUCAAGCUGGGCACAAGAGUACUACUGUCCCGUCCUAUUCCUCUACCUAGUCCAUGCUACUCAUCAAAGACAAAGAGUCUGGCAGGAAUAAAGAAGCUGCUAAACACAAGUCUUAAAAAAC